AAGAUCACCAGAACAUUUAGACAUUUUUAAGAAUUUGGAUGACAAUUUUGAUGAAGAGUGGUCAUAGAUUUCUCAAAUGCAUAAGAGAUUGGCACCUUUCAGAGAUAGGUCGAUCAACAAACGGCAGAGGAUGCUGCAAGUGACAACUGGUGCUGCUGCCUUUAAAGGCAAAUUAUUGGCUUUUAAUUAGGAUAUAAGCCACCAAGUUGCUACUUAUAUGAGGGAUCCCAGUAGAAUGAUCAAGCAAAUGAGGCUGAGAACAUCUACUGUUAGUAUAUUUGGAAAUGUAAGUCAGUGUUGU